GCUUGAGGUUCUCUCUUUCUCACUCUCUCUCUUGUAUUUCCAUACAUCCUCAAAUUUUUUAGUAACAAAUUGCAAUUUAAAUACUGCACUUGUAUCUCAAAAUGACUGAAAUUGUGAAUUUCUUCUACCCUUCUUGUUAAGAAAUCAGCUUCGUUAUUAUUUUGACUGUUUACCCAAUUUUCACAUUUCUUUCUGUGUUGGGAUGUUCAGGCAGAUGCUGAGAAAAGGCUGGUGCAAAAGCUAAUUAGUCUAGGUUACACAAAGCCACAAGUGUAAAGGACAAUUUCCAUGGAGGAGCUUCGUCGUAGCAAUAUAUCUUACACUGCCGUGAAAUGGUUCUUUGGUUUCGUUUUUCUGGUUGAGUUCUCCAUAAUUUAUCAAAGAAAGAGAUGUGUAGUUGCAGGUGCCUCUAUCUAUACCCUUGGGGUAUAGCUUUAUCUUGGUUCUGCAAUUUGUAACAAAGAAAGGACAUUUUAGUUCUGAGACGUAGUAACAUUCCAAAAGAGAUGAUAAUGUUACUGGCUUUGUUUGGCAGCAAUGUACGAAUGGACUUCUUGAACUUGGGUUAGUUCUUGAUUUUCAAGGUGUGUUUAUAACUAAUGACAUCCUUUAUCUUUGAUUCAAAUGCCUUCGAAAUAUCUUUAUUUUUGUUUCGAUGUGGGUAAAGAGCUGACUUCCUGUGAGUGAAUCUUGAAAUGAUUCACAAGGCUUCAUUCUACCAGUCAAGUGAACUCGUUA
rnacentral:lncRNA from 1 species